rnacentral:lncRNA from 1 species
UGCAUGAAGGGAUGAAGUGGCAGGAGAAAUGAAGUCUUCCUAACUCUGGCCUCCUGCUGCUACACAAGCCAGGCCAAUGAUGUGGCAAGUCCAAGGGGCACAUGGCUUUUCAGUGUCAUUGUUUGAGGAGGCCAUGAGUGGUUUAGCUGGUGGCCUCUGCUUCUUUUUCUUUUGAGUGCUUCUGAAUACAUGACUGUGCUCUGAAUACAGAGCUACCACUGCGGGGUAAACCAAGCCACAGCUGUCCUCUUCCAAGGUUAGGGUCGCUGCUCAGCAGGAGCUGAUGUGCUACAAGGAAUGAUGAUCUUCUACUGGACAACAGAACCAGGCCUCCUGACUGCCCCUCCCUGCGCUCCGGGCCUGCAGAAGGCGCCUGAUGUGACUUCGCAUUAUUUUGAAGCUGGAAAGGCAGACAUUUUAAGCCCUAAAGAGGUUUUGCCUUCUGAGGAGCUCAGGAGCUGAGGAGACCCGCAGGGACAUCUGGCUGGUGUCCUCCCCACGACUCUGGAGGAAAGAAUAGAAUACCAAAAGGCGCUGAACAUCACCACACCCCCUGGGGCCAUGACAUCCUCGGUGAACCGUAGGACUGGGGGACUGAGGACGGGUGAUUCCAGAGCGUCUUGCAUCGUCGCGUUUGGAGGACGGUGAUCCUCAGUGACCACCAA